GGGAUUACAUGCAUGAGCCACUGCACCCAGGCUCAGUUGUUGCCUUCUGACAUACUCCACAGUGUACUCAUUUUAUUGUCUGUCUCUCCUUGUUAGAAUGUAAGCUACAUAAAGGUGGGAUCUUUGUCAGUCUUGUUCAUUAAUGCAUGCCAAGAAGCUAGAAUAGUACCUGACAUGUAUCAGGCACACAAUCCCACUUGUUGAAUGAACGAAUGAUUAAUGAAUGAAUACUGCAGCUUCUGGAGGGGCUAAUAUUAAAAAGGGAGAUUACAAAAGGAGCAUAAAAUGAAGCAGGAAGUAAGUUUAGAGACCACUUGUCCAAAAGUGCGAAGCUGAUGGGGCAGUCAAGGGUCACAGGCAGCUGAUCUGGCAUAGUGAGGAUAUGAGUGAAGAGGUAGACGGAAAGGAGCACAUAUGGGAAUGGGGGUAACAACUGGAAGAGCCAAGAAGGGCUUAGAAAUUGAGGAUGAAAAGGAGGAAGGCAAAGGCGCAGGGUCAGCAUGCUUUUCUCACCUCCAGUUCCAAGUCUUUGGCCAUACCGUUGAAUCCAAAUAAAAUACACACUCCUCUCUGCAAAUUCAAGCCUUCUUUCAAAACCUCAGUUCAAUCCCCACCUUUUCUAACAAGGAUCCCCUCUUUCAAUGUAAGAUUUUGGACAUGAAAGUCAGCACGAUAUGAGGGAAAGCGCAGAGAAUUAAAGAUGACCGGGGUUUGACUCCUAGGUCUACCUUUCCUGGCCAUGUAAUCAGAAGCAAGUCCCAUUUAUUCAUUAAUUCACUCUUUUAAAUUCAUUCAUCGAACAUUUGUUGAGUUCUUACUAUGUGUCUUUUGACAUAAUGCCAGGCCACUUCUUCUGGUAGCCUCUUUUCUUCUUCCCGCCUCUCUGCUGUUGUCACUAUCCUUGGCAGUUUCUUUCUCCACCCAUCCAUUGAAUGUUGGAGGGCAUCAAGGCUAUGGCUAGCCUUAUUCCCUCUCGCUCCAGGAUGCCCACUUUUCAGGGUCAAGCUACUCUACAUCCAUGGCUUUGAUUACCUCUACAACCCAAUAAUGCCAAAACUUCUAUCUCCAGCUCAGACCUCUCCUCUCAGCUCCAG